CACGUUCGCCCUCCAACUUGCUUUCAUUUCAGGAACUUCAAAGCGGCUCGAGUUCGGCAACUCAGUAAAACCGAGUCGGGACUCACCGAUUCGUCAUUUCAAUUUUCGUUUCCAUUUCUCCGUAAAGUAUAGUCGUUAAACCCUCCCACGCGUAGGGUUCUUGAUUCUUACGCUGGUUCUGCGACAAAUUUUGAAUGAUUCUGAAUCUCCGAUUGCAGUUCGUUCAGUAAGAUCGUUUCUCGUUUUAAUCAAGCCGGCUUGGAGCGUAGAUUCCACUGCCUCUUCGUUGAAAAUGGAGAGUGUCGUCGAUUGGAAACCUCCGCCGUGUGCGGCCGAGAAGGCUCGGGAGAGCGGCGCUUGAUUCUGGUGGUGUCUCGGGAAGUAAUUCUGGAAACGUGUUUGAGGAACGAGAUCUACGGUUUGAUGCCAUGCUUAGCCAUAUGGUGGGUCGAAACUAGAUCAAAGCCUGGAUCAAAACUUGAGAUGAGGGAGGGCUCUGUGGUGGAGAGGUAUGACAGACCAAUGCCAAAGCAAAUAAAUACAGAUUAAAAUCCAGUAAAUACGAGGAUCGCACAGCCCCACCAGGAACUUUAAAUGUAGCACAGAUGCGCCACAUAAUCCUCCUAAAUGAAGGAAAGGCUGAUGACUGUUCACCAAAUUGCUGAAAGGUAUAAUAAUGUCAGCGUCCAUCAAAUACAGACGAUUUUGCAGUUUCUGUCUCUGCCACCAGAGGACAGUCUUUUAGAGAGAAAAAGAAGGUUCCUUAAUAACAGGAAUGGAGCCAAGAAAACGAGGGAAGGGGCGUUGCUCCCCUAAGAUGAGGUUUUAGAUCCAUAUCUUUUGUGUCUUUUAUUUUAGAUUAUAUUUUCUUUUGCUCCCUAAAUAGCUUUUGUUUUUAGAAUUU